GCCGUUGCCAUGGAUCCUGCAGACGACUGGCUGGUGGACUCCUUGCGCUUGUAAAUCGUACCAGGAUUUCUAUGCAUUCGACCUCUCAGGAGCGACUCGAGUCCUUGAAUGGAUUGAUGACAAAGGAGUCUUUGUUGCUGGCUAUGAAAGCCUGAAAAAGAAUGAAAUUCUUCAUCUGAAAUUACCUCUCAGACUUUCUGUAAACGAAAACAAGGGCUUAUUCCCAGAAAGAGAUUUCAAAGUGCGCCAUGGAGGAUUUUCAGACAGGUCUAUCUUUGAUCUAAAGCACGUGCCACAUACCAGAUUGUUGGUUACCAGUGGCCUUCCAGGUUGUUACCUGCAGGUGUGGCAGGUUGCAGAGGACAGUGAUGUCAUUAAAGCUGUCAGCACCAUUACUGUGCACGAGAAAGAGGAGAGUCUCUGGCCUAGGGUGGCCGUCUUCUCCGCAGUGGCACCCAGAGUCCUCCAUGGGGCGAGGCUCCGCAGUCUGCAGGUCGUUGAUCUGGAGUCCCGGAAGACCACGUACACCUCAGGUGUUGGGGAUACACGGUGAAUAAGAGGUGAGCCCUGGCCUCUAAGGGC
rnacentral:sRNA from 1 species